CCUACGGGUGGCAGCAGUAAGGGAUAUUGGUCAAUGGGGGAAACCCUGAACCAGCAACGCCGCGUGAGGGAAGACGGUUUUCGGAUUGUAAACCUCUGUCCUCUGUGAAGAUGAGGACGGUAGCAGAGGAGGAAGCUCCGGCUAACUACGUGCCAGCAGCCGCGGUAAUACGUAGGGAGCGAGCGUUGUCCGGAGUUACUGGGUGUAAAGGGUGCGGAGGCGGCUGGGCAAGUCAGUAGUGAAAUCCAUGGGCUUAACCCAUGGACUGCUAUUGAAACGGUCGAGCUUGAGUGAAGUGGAGGUAGGCGUAAUUCCCGGUGUAGCGGUGAAAUGCGUCGUGAUCUGGACG
rnacentral:rRNA from 1 species